AUGCAAGUCGAGCGGGCUUAUUCGGGCAACUGGAUAAGUUAGCGGCGAACUGGUGAGUAACACGUAGGUAAUCUGCCGUAGAGUGGGGGAUAACCCAUGGAAACAUGGACUAAUACCGUAUAUACUCUUGACACAUAAGUGUAGUAGAGGAAAGGAGCAAUCCGCUUUACGAUGAGCCUGCGGCCUAUUAGCCUGUUGGUGAGAUAAAAGCCCACCAAAGCUACGAUAGGUAGCCGACCUGAGAGGGUGACCGGCCACAUUGGGACUGAGAUACGGCCCAGACUCCUACGGGAGGCAGCAGCUGAGAAUCUUCCACAAUGGACGAAAGUCUGAUGGAGCGACAUCGCGUGAGGGAUGAAGGCCUUCGGGUUGUAAACCUUGGAAAUUAUCGAAGAAUGAGUGACAGUAGAUAAUGUAAGCCUCGGCUAACUACGUGCCAGCAGCCGCGGUAAUACGUAGGAGGCAAACGUUGCUCGGAUUUACUGGGCGUAAAGGGUGAGUAGGCGGAACUAUAAGUCUAAGGUGAAAUAUCGAAGCUCAACUUCGGAAACGCCUCGGAUACUGUGGUUCUUGGAUAUUGUAGGGGAUGAUGGAAUUCUCGGUGUAGCGGUGGAAUGUAUAGAUAUCGAGAAGAACACCUAUAGCGAAGGCAGUCAUCUGGGCAUUUAUCGACGCUGAAUCACGAAAGCUGGGGGAGCAAACAGGCUUAGAUACCCUGGUAGUCCCAGCCGUAAACGUUGCACACUAGGUGCUCCUAUUAAAAUAGGCGUGCCGUAGCUAACGUCUUAAGUGUGCCGCCUGAGGAGUAUGCCCGCAAGGGUGAAACUCAAAGAAAUUGACGGGUCCCCGCACAAGUGGUGGAGCAUGUGGUUUAAUUCGAUGAUACGCGAAAAACCUUACCUGGGUUUGAAUUGU
rnacentral:rRNA from 1 species